AGAACGAACGCUGGCGGCAGGCUUAACACAUGCAAGUCGAACGCAUCGCAAGAUGAGUGGCAGACGGGUGAGUAACGCGUGGGAAUCUACCCAAUUCUUCGGAACAACUGAGGGAAACUUCAGCUAAUACCGGAUGUGCCCUUCGGGGGAAAGAUUUAUCGGAAUUGGAUGAGCCCGCGUUGGAUUAGCUAGUUGGUGGGGUAAAGGCCUACCAAGGCGACGAUCCAUAGCUGGUCUGAGAGGAUGAUCAGCCACACUGGGACUGAGACACGGCCCAGACUCCUACGGGAGGCAGCAGUGGGGAAUAUUGGACAAUGGGCGCAAGCCUGAUCCAGCCAUGCCGCGUGUGUGAUGAAGGUCUUAGGAUUGUAAAGCACUUCCACCGGAGAAGAUAAUGACGGUAUCCGGAGAAGAAGCCCCGGCUAACUUCGUGCCAGCAGCCGC
rnacentral:rRNA from 1 species